CUGUCGAUGAUUAAGAUAUCACUGCGCCAUCUGAGUUCCUGGGAAACUUGAUAGGGAACGUGUUCUGAGAACCGACUGAGACCA
rnacentral:snoRNA from 1 species